UUAUGAUGAUGUUGUUGUUAUGUUUAUGUAAUGAAACGGAUAAGAAACACUUUAUUUAGGGAGGAUUAAUUUAAACCACUUUCAUGUUAUGAUCGCUACGUGCGGUUCGGAGUCUAGUUGACAUCGAAGUGCUACCUUACAGGACAAAUUUAUUCGCACCAAAGAUCAAUUUGUUCGCGAGUUCAGUCCGUCUCUCUGAUCUUUUUAUGAGGAUGUCAUACAUGUACGCGUUGCUUUUGUUUGACUGUGAUGAUACUACGGCUGUUGUCCAUAUACGUCAAGUGCCAGAGAAUGCAGCUAUUGACCAACAGUUUGAACUAAAAGCAAGUGGGAAUCACCUAUGUGAAAUCCUAAAUCCGGCCGUCAAAAAUGCCAUGGAUGCUUGGAAGCGUACUUGGUCUUCAUCUGUAAGGAGCCAGCUCAUUGAUGGAAAGCGAGAAAAAGGUGUAACACAUGGAUAUCUUGAACAGCAGAUAACCUUAUUAAUUAUGUGUGGAGAUAAAAGCUGUAUAUGUUAGGCCCACACUCACAGAUGAAUGGCAGUAAACAAAGAAGCUACCUUAAGGAUAAUUGUGAUUUCUCCUCAAGUUUAGUUGUUGUUUUGAUCACCUUGUUUCAAUGUGCUCUAAGUGAGCUGUUGUGACUAGUAUCAUUAUCUUAUUUCUUAGGUUGUGUCCUUUAUUGCUGGCAAUUUAAGUUCCUCACAUAAAGCAGUUUCAAAUGAGUUCAAAGAUAGUAAGUAACCUGUUUGGAAACAAAAAUAACGACACCCUUUGGAUCAAUGUGUUUGUAUAGUAAACUUCUCCUUCAACACUACAAGGCCAAAAUCAAAAAUAGCUGACAUAAUUCGUUUUUUUACAUUUUUUGUAGAACCUACAACCAAUUGUUUUGGUAGAUCAUGUCGCUUGUGAUUCAGUUGAACAGUCUGUUAAACAGAAAAGAACCUCUUCUUUAAAUGAGCAUGUCAAGAAAAGAAAUAUAAGUACCUGUUUUGAAUCAGUUUGUGACUGUUUUUGUAUGCCCUGUCAAUAGAAAAAUAGUGAAUGGCAUUAAUAUUCACCCCUGUUGGCCUGUCUGUGGUGAUAAUUGAUAUGAAAUAUGUUGAAAGAUAUCGCAGAGGAGUGCAGUGCAAAAUAAUAUUUUCCCUUACAUUUUUUUAGUUAUUGCCCUAAGUUAUUUUUAUACUGUUUUUUUAUGAGUAUAACUUGAAAUCUAUAAGUGAUACAGACUUGAAACUUGGAAUGGAUGAAUGAUUAAAUCCAUACAACUUAUUUGGCAUACUAAAUUUAAGUAUAAAUAAGAAAACUAUUUUAUCUAUGCUUAUCAGAAUAUAUGAUAUUGAAAUCCCCCGCCAAUAUGCUUCUGGACACAAAAGUUUUAUAUUUGACACUCAAAAAAGCAUUUUUUUUAAUAUACAAAGGGCCAUAACUCCUUUAUUAUCAAAUGGUGUACAAUGCCAUUUGGCAGUGCAUCAUCCUCCUACCCAUAUAUAUACUCAUACCAAGUUUCAAUGAAAUCCGCCAAAGCA